rnacentral:rRNA from 1 species
UACAGAGGGUGCGAGCGUUAAUCGGAAUUACUGGGCGUAAAGCGUGCGCAGGCGGUUAGCUAAGACAGAUGUGAAAUCCCCGGGCUUAACCUGGGAACUGCAUUUGUGACUGGCGGGCUAGAGUAUGGCAGAGGGGGGUAGAAUUCCACGUGUAGCAGUGAAAUGCGUAGAGAUGUGGAGGAAUACCGAUGGCGAAGGCAGCCCCCUGGGCCAAUACUGACGCUCAUGCACGAAAGCGUGGGGAGCAAACAGG